GUAGUCAUAUGCUUGUCUCAAAGAUCAAGCCAUGCAUGUCUAAGUAUAAGCAAUUAUACAGCGAAACUGCGAAUGGCUCAUUAAAUCAGUUAUCGUUUAUUUGAUAGUACCUAGCUACAUGGAUAACCGUGGUAAUUCUAGAGCUAAUACAUGCUAAAAAUCCCGACUUCGGAAGGGAUGUAUUUAUUAGGUUAAAAACCAAUGCCCUUCGGGGCUCUCUGGUGACUCAUAAUAACUUCUCGAAUCGCACGGCCUUGCGCCGGCGAUGGUUCAUUCAAAUUUCUGCCCUAUCAACUUUCGACGGCUGGGUCUUGGCCAGCCAUGGUGACAACGGGUAACGGGGAAU
rnacentral:rRNA from 1 species